rnacentral:rRNA from 1 species
UGGGGGAUAUUGCACAAUGGGCGAAAGCCUGAUGCAGCGACGCCGCGUGGGGGAUGAAGGCCUUCGGGUUGUAAACUUCUUUUGCUCUGAACAAGGCGCACCAUGGGGUGUGCUGAGUGUAGGGGUUGAUUAGCGCCGGCUAACUACGUGCCAGCAGCCGCGGUAAUACGUAGGGCGCGAGCGUUGUCCGGAAUUAUUGGGCGUAAAGGGCUUGUAGGUGGCUGGUUGCGUCUGUCGUGAAAGCUCAUGGCUUAACUGUGGGUUUGCGGCGGGUACGGGGUGGCUUGAGUGCAGUAGGGGAGGCUGGAAUUCCUGGUGUAGCGGUGGAAUGCGGAGAUAUCAGGAGGAAUACCGGUGGCGAAGGCGGGUCUCUGGGCGGUUACUGACACUGAGGAGCGAAAGCAUGGGGAGCGAACAGG